UGGGGAAUUUUGCACAAUGGGGGAAACCCUGAUGCAGCGACGCCGCGUGAUUUAGAAGGCCUUCGGGUUGUAAAAAUCUUUUUUAGGGGUGGAAAAUACCAGUACGGUAAGAAUAAGUUCGGGCUAAUAAGGUGCCAGCAGCGGCGGAAUACGUUAUGAACGGAGCUUUGUCCGGAAUCAUUGGGCGUAAAGGGUACGUAGGCGGCCUAGUAAGUUAGAAGUGAAAUAAUAUAGCUCAACUAUAUAAAGCUUUUAAAACUGCUAGGCUUGAGAGAUGGAAGGGAAAGUGGAAUUCCUAGUGUAGCGGUGAAAUGCGCAGAUAUUAGGAAGAAUACCGGUGGCGAAGGCGACUUUCUGGUCAUCAUCUGACGCUGAGGUACGAAAGCGUGGGUAGCAAACAGG
rnacentral:rRNA from 1 species